rnacentral:rRNA from 1 species
AGCGAACGCUGGCGGCAGGCUUAACACAUGCAAGUCGAGCGGGCGUAGCAAUACGUCAGCGGCAGACGGGUGAGUAACGCGUGGGAACGUACCUUUUGGUUCGGAGCAACACAGGGAAACUUGUGCUAAUACCGGAUAAGCCCUUACGGGGAAAGAUUUAUCGCCGAAAGAUCGGCCCGCGUCUGAUUAGCUAGUUGGUGAGGUAACGGCUCACCAAGGCGACGAUCAGUAGCUGGUCUGAGAGGAUGAUCAGCCACAUUGGGACUGAGACACGGCCCAAACUCCUACGGGAGGCAGCAGUGGGGAAUAUUGGACAAUGGGGGCAACCCUGAUCCAGCCAUGCCGCGUGAGUGAUGAAGGCCCUAGGGUUGUAAAGCUCUUUUGUGCGGGAAGAUAAUGACGGUACCGCAAGAAUAAGCCCCGGCUAACUUCGUG